rnacentral:lncRNA from 1 species
GAAUGAGUCAGAGGUGCAGGGAGAACCUCAAACAUCAAAUUUCUAUGCAAAUCUCUGAAUUAUUACUUUCUGUUUGUCUUUGAUAUGAGUGCAACCUACAAUGUGUUAGAAAAUAUGAUGUGAAAUACCAGCUACUUGGGAACCUGAGCAGGAGGAUUGCAAUUUGGAGAUCAGCCUGGACAACUUAGCAAAACCCUUCUUCAAAAGAAAAAGUUAAAAGGGCUAAGGAUGUAGCUCAGUGGUAUCACACAUGACUAGGAUGCAUGAGGCUGAAGGUUUAAUUCCCAGUAACAACCCCCUGUCCCAAAUUUAUAUAUAUAUAAUUUUUCCUUCAUAUCCAUAACAGUGCCUUUUAACCUUUGAAAAUCUUUUAGGAUCAAUAAUAUAUAUGUUCCCCAUAAUCUCUUUUGUACAGCAAUAAGGACCCCAUGCCUACAGAGAGGACUAUUCUUGCAAUCCUACAUUAUUAAAAAAGAGUUUUGGAAAAGGUCAGUUUUUCAGUCCUACUGUGGUAAGUUAGUUAAAAUUGUAUUUUUUAAUUAAAUAUUUGUGAAUUAAAUGCCCAACUUGGGCCUUCAAACUUAAUAAUGCUCCUCAAAUUCAAUAAUGAGUGACUAAAAAGACAGGCUGGGGUCUUCAAUGUCUUCCUAAAUCUUCAUUUUUUGGGUGAUCUCAUUUCUUAUCUAUUUAAGCAUCUAUAAAUUGACAAAUAUAUUCUAUAGGAUUUCAGUUAAAUUUAUACAAGUUUUUAUUUCCAGCAGAAUUAUUCCUUUACUCUUUCUAAACAUUCUUUUUGGUGUCAAAUACAUACUUUAACGCUAGGGAUCAUGGUUCCCAUGGAUACGGAUUCCUGUAUAGUAGCCAAGUGAAUGGAAUGAGAUUUAAGACAUUUCCUGGUGUUAUCUACCAUUCUCUAGUGAACUUCCUGCAGAAUUGCCAGCCUGCUUCAGUAUUGUCAUAAGUUAUUGUCUAGGUUAGAAAGACAGGUGCCAAAAUAUCAAUUUCAAUGAAAACUGUACUUUCUUUUAUCAGCUUGUCUUUAGCCCAAACAGCUCACCUAUGGUAUAUUUAGGAAUCAGCUAUACAUUUUGUGUUUCUAAGGUCCAAAAUAUUUGUUUCACCUAUAAAAAAGUUUAGGGUCACACACUUAAAAACUUGCAUGUUACUUUCUAAGUAAACUAGGAAAAUUUCUACAAGCUAUGAUGUUAUUGUUUUGUCUAUGUUCAAAUAUCAGGAAACAAUAUUUAUCUAAAGGAAAACUCCCCCCUUUUUUUCUUUGCUUCUUUUCCCAUACCAUUGGGAUAUGUUCAGUGUUAGUAUUUUGCCUGUAACUCCCCAAAUACACAAGGAAGGCCUAAUGACGAAAGCAUCGCAUAUGAAGUAUUUUGAAAGUGUUCAUUUUGGCCCUUUGGAUUAAAUUAGGGAAAAAACCCAUGGAUGCUAUUAAAACUA